rnacentral:rRNA from 1 species
AGAGCGUAUGGCGGAUGCCUUGGCUCUCAGAGGCGAUGAAGGACGUAAUAAGCUGCGAUAAGCUACGAGGAGGAGCAAAUAUCCUUUGAUUCGUAGAUCUCCGAAUGGGGCAACCCGGCUAGUUGAAGACUAGUCAUCAUUUAUAUGAAGCUAACCCGGUGAACUGAAACAUCUAAGUAACCGGAGGAAAAGAAAACAAAAGUGAUUCCCUUAGUAGCGGCGAGCGAAACGGGAACAGCCCAAACCAAUUAUGUUUAGGCAUAGUUGGGGUUGUAGGACUGCGAUGUGGAAUAUUAGAUUAUAGUGGAAUAUUUUGGAAAAUUUAGUCAUAGAGGGUGAUAACCCCGUACACGAAAUAAUUUAAUAACCUAGCAGUAUCCUGAGUAUGGCGGGACACGUGUAAUCCUGUCUGAAUCUGCCAGGACCAUCUGGUAAGGCUAAAUACUACUGAGAGACCGAUAGUGAACAAGUACCGUGAGGGAAAGGUGAAAAGUACCCUGAACAAGGGAGUGAAAUAGUACCUGAAACCAUACGCUUACAAGCUGUAGGAGCCCUUCGGGGUGACUGCGUGCCUUUUGCAUAAUGAGCCUACGAGUUACUCGUCUCUAGCAAGGUUAAAUUGAUAAUCGAUGCAGCCGAAGCGAAAGCAAGUCUGAAUAGGGCGUAUAGUUAGAGGCGGUAGACGCGAAACCCGGUGAUCUACCCAUGACCAGGUUGAAGUUCCGGUAACACGGAAUGGAGGACCGAACCAGUAGACGUUGAAAAGUCUUUGGAUGAGUUGUGGGUAGGGGUGAAAGGCCAAUCAAACCGGGAAAUAGCUCGUACUCCCCGAAAUGCAUUUAGGUGCAGCCUCGAGGUUGAGUUUCAUAGAGGUAGAGCUACUGAUAGGGCUAGGGGGCUUCACCGCCUACCAACCCCUGACAAACUCCGAAUGCUAUGAAAUAUACUCGGGAGUGAGGGCAUGGGUGCUAAGGUCCAUGUCCGAGAGGGAAAGAACCCAGAUCAUCAGCUAAGGUCCCCAAGUAUAUACUAAGUUGACCAAACGAAGUCUAACUGCUUUGACAGCUAGGAUGUUGGCUUGGAAGCAGCCAUUCAUUUAAAGAGUGCGUAACAGCUCACUAGUCGAGCGGUUGGGCGUGGAUAAUAAUCGGGCAUAAGUAUAUCACCGAAGCUAUGAGAUCGUAAGAUCGGUAGGGGAGCAUUCUAAUAUCAUCGAAGAUUUUUCGGUAAGAAAAAUUGGAGAAAUUAGAAAAGAAAAUGUAGGCAUAAGUAACGAUAAAGCGGGCGAGAAACCCGCUCACCAAUAGACUAAGGUUUCCCCAGCCAUGCUAAUCAGCUGGGGGUUAGUCGGGACCUAAGGCGAACCCAAAUGGGGUAGUCGAUGGAUAACAGGUUAAUAUUCCUGUACUAGUUUUAACUGCGAUGGGGUGACGGAGAAGUGAAAGAUACGCGUACUGACAGAAUAGUACGUCUAAGAACGUAGGUAUAGAUUUGUAGGCAAAUCCGCAAUUCUGCUGAAAUUCGAGUGAUAACUGAUCCUUCUGGUGACGGAAGUAUCCUAAUCAUGCUCCCAAGAAAAACCUCUAAGCUUCAGGUUAUAACUACUCGUACCGUAAACCGACACAGGUAGUCAAGAUGAGAAUUCUAAGGUGCUCGAGUGAUCCGUGGCUAAGGAACUAGGCAAAAUGGUCCUGUAACUUCGGGAGAAAGGACGCUUACAUUUGUAAGCCGCAGUGAAUAGGCCCAGGCGACUGUUUAUCAAAAACACAUGGCUUUGCUAAAUCGAAAGAUGAUGUAUAAGGCCUGACACCUGCCCGGUGCCGGAAGGUUAAGAGGAGAGCUUAGCAUUUAUGCGAAGGUUUGAAUUGAAGCCCCGGUAAACGGCGGCCGUAACUAUAACGGUCCUAAGGUAGCGAAAUUCCUUGUCGGGUAAGUUCCGACCUGCACGAAUGGUGUAACGAUCUGGGCACUGUCUCAGCCACGAGCUCGGUGAAAUUGUAAUCUCGGUGAAGAUGCCGAGUACCCGCAACGGGACGGAAAGACCCCGUGCACCUUUACUAUAGCUUCACAUUGGUAUUGGAUAAUUGAUGUGUAGGAUAGGUGGGAGACAUUGAAGCGGCCUCGCUAGGGGUUGUGGAGUCAAUCUUGAAAUACCACCCUUCAAUUAUUCGAUAUCUAACUCAUUACAGAGAACAGUGUGUGGUGGGUAGUUUGACUGGGGUGGUCGCCUCCAAAAGAGUAACGGAGGCUUCUAAAGGUACCCUCAGUACGCUUGGUAACCGUACGUAGAGUGUAAUGGCACAAGGGUGCUUGACUGUGAGACCGACAAGUCGAGCAGGUACGAAAGUAGAGCAUAGUGAUCCGGUGGUUCCGCAUGGAAGGGCCAUCGCUCAAAGGAUAAAAGGUACGCCGGGGAUAACAGGCUGAUCACUCCCAAGAGCUCACAUCGACGGAGUGGUUUGGCACCUCGAUGUCGGCUCGUCACAUCCUGGGGCUGGAGAAGGUCCCAAGGGUUGGGCUGUUCGCCCAUUAAAGUGGCACGCGAGCUGGGUUCAGAACGUCGCGAGACAGUUCGGUCCCUAUCUGUUGUGGGCGUUAGAAAUUUGAGGGAACCUGACCCUAGUACGAGAGGACCGGGUUGGACGAACCUCUGGUGAACCUGUUGUGGCGCUAGCUGCAUCGCAGGGUAGCUAUGUUCGGUUGAGAUAAGCGCUGAAAGCAUCUAAGCGCGAAACUCUUCUCAAGAUGAGAUUUCUUUUAAAGGUCGUCAAAGAUUAUGACGUUGAUAGGCUACAGGUGUAAAGUCAGUGAUGACAAAGCCGAGUAGUACUAAUUACCUGUAAGCUUUGAGU